rnacentral:rRNA from 1 species
GACGAACGCUGGCGGCGUGCUUAACACAUGCAAGUCGAACGGAAAGGCCCUGCUUUUGUGGGGUGCUCGAUUGGCGAACGGGUGAGUAACACGUGAGUAACCUGCCCUUUACUUUGGGAUAACUUCCGGAAACUGGGGCUAAUACAGGAUAGGAUCUCCUGCUGCAUGGGGGGGAUUGGAAAGUUUCGGCUGUUUGGGCUGGACUCGCUGGUUAUCAGCUUGUUGGUUGAGUAGUUGUUUACCAAGGCUUUGACGGGGAGCCUGCCUGAGUGGGGUACCGGGCACAUGGGUACUGAGAUAGGGACCAGUAGCGAAUCUGAGGCAAGAGUGGGGAACCUUGCGCAACGGGGGGAAGCCUGAUGCGACAACGCCGGGUGCGGGAUGCCCGCUUUCGGGUUGUGAACAGAUGUCGCAUGAGCCGAAGAGGGAGUGACGGUAACGGGUAAAGAAGCACCGGCUAACUACGUG